GAGUUGUAAUUUGAAGAAGCGUUUUCCGCGUCUCGGUUGACCCAAAUCCUUUGGGAUAUGGUAUCAUGGAGGGUGAGAAUCCCGUCCGGUUGACUUUGUGACGCUUUACGAUACGUUUUCAAAGAGUCGAGUUGUUUGGGAUUGCAGCUCAAAAUGGGAGGUAAAUUUCUCCUAAGGCUAAAUAUUGGCGAGAGACCGAUAGCGAACAAGUACCGUGAGGGAAAGAUGAAAAGAACUUUGAAAAGAGAGUAAGAUAGUACGUGAAAUUGUUGAAAGGGAAACGAUUGAAGUCAGUCCUACCGACGGAAAAUCAACUCUUCGAGUGCGGACUUUGUGGACGUGCGUGAGUUUUACGACCUCGCUGUUUGUAACGUUUGUGCUUUUUGGGUGUACUUUUUCGUAUGGUAGGCCAACAUCAGUUUUGAUCGCUAUAAAAUGACCGGCGGAAUGUAGCUUCGAUCUCGUAUUGAAGUGUUAUAGCCUCUGGUAGAUGUGGUGAUCGAGACUGAGGAUUGCAACGAAUAUCCUUUGGGCUAUCCGUCUGAUCUCUGAAAGUCGCUUAGGUGCCGAAAGCUUGCUU
rnacentral:rRNA from 1 species